rnacentral:lncRNA from 1 species
UUAGAGGUAAAAAUUUCUACCAUUGGAAGGUCAAAAUGGAGCUUUUGGUGGCGUCUUUGGAUCUUUAGGAUAUUGUAGAUGAAAGUGAAGAGGCUCCAAGCAAAGAUGUUGAUAUGAAGGAGAAGAAGGAGUUCAAACGUUGUGAAAAGAAGGCUUUUGGGUUGAUUGCAACAAAUAUAGAUGAAGCCAACUUCUCUCACAUUAUCUCUUGCAAACGACCAGCAGAAGCAUGGAAGACUCUUUGCAACAUCUAUGAGAGCAAGAACUUAUCCAACAUCAUUUAUACAAGGAGAAAGUUCUUCACUUGCAAGAUGGAAGAAGGUGAAGA